rnacentral:rRNA from 1 species
UGAAGUUAAAGGCUGUGGNUCAACCAUAGUUCGCUUUGGAAACUGUCAAACUUGAGUGCAGAAGGGGAGAGUGGAAUUCCAUGUGUAGCGGUGAAAUGCGUAGAUAUAUGGAGGAACNCCGGUGGCGAAAGCGGCUCUCUGGUCUGUAACUGACGCUGAGGCUNGAAAGCGUGGGGAGCGAACAGGAUUAGAUACCCUGGUAGUACACGCCGUAAACGAUGAGUGCUAGGUGUUGGAUCCUUUCCGGGAUUCAGUGCCGCAGCUAACGCAUUAAGCACUCCGCCUGGGGAGUACGACCGCAAGGUUGAAACUCAAAGGAAUUGACGGGGGCCCGCACAAGCGGUGGAGCAUGUGGUUUAAUUCGAGGCAACGCGAAGAACCUUACCAGGUCUUGACAUCCCGAUGCUAUUUCUAGAGAUAGGAAGUUACUUCGGUACAUCGGUGACAGGUGGUGCAUGGUUGUCGUCAGCUCGUGUCGUGAGAUGUUGGGUUAAGCCCCGCAACGAGCGCAACCCCUAUUGUUAGUUGCCAUCAUUCAGUUGGGCACUCUAGCAAGGCUGCCGGUAAUAAACCGGAGGAAGGUGGGGAUGACGUCAAAUCAUCAUGCCCCUUAUGACCUGGGCUACACACGUGCUACAAUGGUUGGUACAACGAGUUGCAAGUCGGUGACGGCGAGCUAAUCUCUUAAAGCCAAUCUCAGUUCGGAUUGUAGGCUGCAACUCGCCUACAUGAGGUCGGAAUUGCUAGUAAUCGCGGAUCAGCACGCCGCGGUGAAUACGUUCCCGGGCCUUGUACACACCGCCCGUCACACCACGAGAGUUUGUAACACCCGAAGUCGGUGAGGUANCCUUA